rnacentral:rRNA from 1 species
AGAGUUUGAUCAUGGCUCAGGAUGAACGCUAGCUACAGGCUUAACACAUGCAAGUCGAGGGGCAGCAUGGGCUUAGCUUGCUAAGCCCGAUGGCGACCGGCGCACGGGUGAGUAACACGUAUCCAACCUUCCGGUAACUCCGGUAUAGCCUUUCGAAAGAAAGAUUAAUCCCGGAUAGUAUGGUGAUUCCGCAUGGUUUCUCCAUUAAAGGAUUCCGGUUACCGAUGGGGAUGCGUUCCAUUAGGCAGUUGGCGGGGUAACGGCCCACCAAACCUACGAUGGAUAGGGGUUCUGAGAGGAAGGUCCCCCACAUUGGAACUGAGACACGGUCCAAACUCCUACGGGAGGCAGCAGUGAGGAAUAUUGGUCAAUGGGCGGAAGCCUGAACCAGCCAAGUAGCGUGAAGGAUGACUGCCCUAUGGGUUGUAAACUUCUUUUAUAAGGGAAUAAUUGUGGGUACGCGUACCCAUUUGCAUGUACCUUAUGAAUAAGGAUCGGCUAACUCCGUGCCAGCAGCCGCGGUAAUACGGAGGAUCCGAGCGUUAUCCGGAUUUAUUGGGUUUAAAGGGAGCGUAGGCGGGCGCUUAAGUCAGCUGUGAAAGUUUGGGGCUCAACCUUAAAAUUGCAGUUGAUACUGGGUGCCUUGAGUGCAGUAUAGGCAGGCGGAAUUCGUGGUGUAGCGGUGAAAUGCUUAGAUAUCACGAAGAACUCCUAUUGCGAAGGCAGCUUGCUGGAGUGUAACUGACGCUGAUGCUCGAAAGUGUGGGUAUCAAACAGGAUUAGAUACCCUGGUAGUCCACACAGUAAACGAUGAAUACUCGCUGUUUGCGAUAUACUGCAAGCGGCCAAGCGAAAGCGUUAAGUAUUCCACCUGGGGAGUACGCCGGCAACGGUGAAACUCAAAGGAAUUGACGGGGGCCCGCACAAGCGGAGGAACAUGUGGUUUAAUUCGAUGAUACGCGAGGAACCUUACCCGGGCUUGAAUUGCAACCGAAUUAUCCGGAAACGGGUAAGCCGCAAGGCGGUUGUGAAGGUGCUGCAUGGUUGUCGUCAGCUCGUGCCGUGAGGUGUCGGCUUAAGUGCCAUAACGAGCGCAACCCUUAUCCACAGUUACCAUCAGGUGAUGCUGGGGACUCUGUGGAGACUGCCGUCGUAAGAUGCGAGGAAGGGGGGGAUGACGUCAAAUCAGCACGGCCCUUACGUCCGGGGCUACACACGUGUUACAAUGGGGGGUACAGCAGGCAGCUCGGCGGCGACGCCCGGCCAAUCCCUAAAUCCCCUCUCAGUUCGGACUGGAGUCUGCAACCCGACUCCACGAAGCUGGAUUCGCUAGUAAUCGCGCAUCAGCCACGGCGCGGUGAAUACGUUCCCGGGCCUUGUACACACCGCCCGUCAAGCCAUGAAAGCCGGGGGUACCUGAAGUGCGUAACCGUCCAGGAGCGCCCUAGGGUAAAACCGGUGAUUGGGGCUAAGUCGUAACAAGGUAGCCGU